CAGGAGCCAGUUGAAGGCUGCAGUGAUUUUAGUGACACUACAAUGUAUAAGAGUGAAGUUAUUGAAUAUUUGUCUCUCUUUACUGUUGUAGUGGUUUUGCAAAUUGCAGACGGACCCUGUUCACUCCAUAGACACCAAUGUUAUUCCUGUAGCUUGAAAGACAGCUACUUUUGAUAAAACUGGGCUUGUAGCACAUUGUCUGCCUUGCAACAAUGGGAAAGAGGCACCGUUUAUGUUUUGACAACCUAUAUCUAACGAGUUAUUGAUGCUGGAAGUCCGAAUCUGUGAAUAUCUUUCCAACUUUACUGAACUUGGGGCCACUACCACCUAAGGAGUGAUAUAUUUAAUUCUGAAAAAAGCAUUUAGCCAUACUUAAAGCUUUAAGUGCUUUGUUAACACAGAACUAAAAAUUUUGUAUUGUUUUAUUAUCACAGGUUCUGUCUGAAAAGAGGUGGCAUCAUUUUAAACAGUGAAAUCAAACUAACAAAAUGUAAUGACCAACCAGUGAGCAAUACUGGAUUCUGCAAAAACAUAAACAACUUUUUUAAAAAUCUAAAUCUUAUCUUAACACAGUUAAUGUAUUAACUUAUUUUUGUGUUUAUGCAUGUAUUCAUUGAUUUAUUUAGUACUGUUAACAUAUCAGAGUUCUGAAUGAAUUUUUGUUAAGAUAGGCAAAGGCCAUUUAUUGAUUACAUAUAGGCUGUUAAAUGUUUAUUAAAAACUAAAAAGCAUUUUUAAGAAAACAACUUAGGCAUUUAUUGAGUCACUAAAAUACUGUAGAGUACAGACCACAUCAGCAUGAUUAUAAGCAUCCUCUGGUAAAUUAACAACCAGAUACUGAUGUCUCUCACCAUAUGGACUUCAGGAGAUGACUGGGGGAUGAUAAACUGUGACCUACUGGUUGGGUUUUCUCUGUUCUCAUGUUUCUUACAUGUUUGUCCCCUGACAGCCGGGUCCUAAUGUUUUUUGAGCAACACACCAUACUAUGACGUUUUUACAAUGAUGGUUCUACUAUGAAACCAGUUUGACAUGUUCAGGUGUUCUUUGUGUGAAAACUCAGAGAUUUCAGGUAUCAGAAGGUGGUUUUCAACUUUCUUUAUUAACUUUCUGCUUCAACUUUAAAUUAAAUUUCCUUGACUAACCCAGCCCUCUGGACUUCCAGGAAGCUGUGUUCCUAUUGGCUGUCCAGGUGGCUGCUUGGUGUUAUCAGGAACACCUGAGCAGCUCACUGUCUUCCUGCUUUAUUUAGCUGCAGCCAAACAUUUCCUCUGCUUGUCUUCACCACUGAACUGGGUUUGGCUCUGUUGCUUCAGUUUGUUCUUUAGGCGUUGGCUUGCAGCUUCCAGCAGUAAAAUCGUCUUUAAUCUGUUUCUUGGUGUGUUUUAGGGCUUUGUACUGGAUAGUUGUCUUGGUAAAUGUGGUUCUUUAGCCACAGUUAGCACAUGGUGCUAAUGUUUGCAGUGAUUAGUGGAUUUUGUGCAGGUGAAUUGUGUCUUUAUCUUGGCUGUAGUGAGUCUUUAGAGGUUUUUGGUCAGACACAUUCUGUGUUCUUGUUUGAGAACCGAUGUUGAUUGUCCAGAAGGUAAGAGUUCCUGUCCUGAUUCUCUGUUCUCAGAGGUUCUCUGGUAGGCUGCAGGAGACUUUAGCAUUUGGGUUGUGCUAGUUUGGUUUUUGUAUGGUUUCAUUUGGACGACUAUCUUGAGGCCCCUCCAUGUGGUUUAGUGAGGUUUUCUGCAACAGUUCUACAAAGCAACCUGCAGCAGAAGAGACUUUGAGAGUUUUUAGGAAGUUCUGGAGACCAGACUUUAGAGCAGCAGAAACAUUUGUCAGCAGUUUGAGCAGGAGAAGGUGAGCUUCAGAGUAGAAAUGAGAUGGAAACCUUCUUGACCCGUGUGGUGAGGUCCUGUACCAAGAGUUUGAGCAGGUUGUGAAGAGUCUGUAGUUCUUUGGUCUGAAAGCACAAGAAGAGUCGACUCAUUAAAGGAGAAAACAGGAGAUAUUGUUGGUUCUUCUGUCACUCUGCAGUUUCCUUAGACUGAAUAUCAAGUUUAUAUUUUAAAUGAUUUCCCAUGUGAGCCCAAGAAGACUUCAAUAAACUCCCUCCAUCCCCUGGAC
ensembl:lncRNA